GGCAAAUGCCAUACAGUGCCUUUAAAUUUUUAUUUUCCUCCCUCUUCCCUCCCCUCACCCCAGUUGGCAUCUGUUUUUUCCUGUGCAAGCCAACUGGUGUUUCUUACUUUUGGGAGUUGAAUGUUGGGCUUCAUUUAACCAGUCGCAUUUCAGACAUUUUUACGCAGUUUUUUUACUAAUUUGUACACGAACGGUUUUAAGUCAUGACAUGAAAAUUUUGAACAGAAUUCUACCAGGUGGCUGUUUAUGAGAAAUCCCCCUUUUAGUUUUCCUUUUUCUCAUACAUUUUUUCUUUCCCCAAAAUUUUUUUUAAAACAUU